rnacentral:rRNA from 1 species
UACGGAGGGGGCAAGCGUUGCUCGGAAUCACUGGGCGUAAAGGGCGCGUAGGCGGGGAGGUAAGUCGGGUGGGAAAUCCCUCGGCCCAACCGAGGAACUGCGCCCGAGACUGCUUCUCUUGAGUCCCGGAGAGGAAGAUGGAAUUCCCGGUGUAGCGGUGAAAUGUGUAGAGAUCGGGAGGAACACCGGUGGCGAAGGCGGGCUUCUGGACGGUGACUGACGCUGAGGCGCGAAAGCGUGGGGAGCAAACGGG